rnacentral:rRNA from 1 species
UGCGAACGGCUCAUUAAAUCAGUUAUCGUUUAUUUGAUAGUACCUUACUACUUGGAUAACCGUGGUAAUUCUAGAGCUAAUACAUGCUAAAAGUCCCGACCUCUGGAAGGGACGUAUUUAUUAGAUAAAAAACCAAUGCCUUCGGGCUUCUUGGUGAUUCAUAAUAACUUUACGAAUCGCAUGGCCUUGUGCCGGCGAUGUUUCAUUCAAAUUUCUGCCCUAUCAACUUUCGAUGGUAGGAUAGUGGCCUACCAUGGUUUCAACGGGUAACGGGGAAUUAGGGUUCGAUUCCGGAGAGGGAGCCUGAGAAACGGCUACCACAUCCAAGGAAGGCAGCAGGCGCGCAAAUUACCCAAUCCCGACACGGGGAGGUAGUGACAAUAAAUACUGAUACAGGGCCCAUUUGGGUCUUGUAAUUGGAAUGAGUACAAUUUAAAGCCUUUAACGAGGAACAAUUGGAGGGCAAGUCUGGUGCCAGCAGCCGCGGUAAUUCCAGCUCCAAUAGCGUAUAUUAAAGUUGUUGCAGUUAAAAAGCUCGUAGUUGAACCUUGGGUCUGGGUGACCGGUCUGCCUCACCGCAUGUACUGGAAACCCGGAUCUUUCCUUCUGGAGAACCGCAUGCCCUUUACUGGGUGUGCUGGGGAACCAGGACUUUUACUUUGAAAAAAUUAGAGUGUUCAAAGCAGGCAUUUGCUCGAAUACAUUAGCAUGGAAUAAUAGAAUAGGACGUGCGGUCCUAUUUUGUUGGUUUCUAGGACCGCCGUAAUGAUUAAUAGGGAUAGUCGGGGGCAUCCGUAUUCGAUUGUCAGAGGUGAAAUUCUUGGAUUUUUCGAAGACGAACUACUGCGAAAGCAUUUGCCAAGGAUGUUUUCAUUAAUCAGGAACGAAAGUUGAGGGAUCGAAGACGAUCAGAUACCGUCGUAGUCUCAACCAUAAACUAUGCCGACUAGGGAUCGGGCGAUGUUUAAAUCUGACUCGCUCG